AUAUUUGCUGAAUUCAAAAUUUAUGAAUAUGUGGUGUGAGAUAUAAUUAUAGAAGUUAGUAUUUCUAAAGAUAAUUGUCAUUAUGAUUAGUACUUGUAAUUAUAUUUACCAUUACACAGUAAAAUGUGAAAUUUUAUUUUAUAUCGAGGCAUAUAUGAAUUUUUUCGUUGCCCUUAUUGUUUCAUUUUAAUAUUGAUCCCAACAGCUUUUUUCCCUUUUUGUGCCUUCCCCUUUGUGAGGUGGCUAGAGGGCGACGGUUUUCUCUCUUUGGCGGUGGCCGGCUGGAGUUGUUGGUUUCUUUCUCUUUGUGAGAGCAUUAUAUAUUUGUAGGAUUCUCUUUGUGGAAUUGAGAUGGCUCUUAUGUGAGCAUUUCUUCUUAGGCAUUUAGAGUGGUUUGCCCUUUUGGGUGAAGCUAUUGUGUGGUUUCAUUGUGGUGUAUUGAGUUUAAACUGGGCCCACCCGCCGCUAAGCUUGGAGAAGAAGGGAGUUCUCAUUUUAGAUUUCUCUUUUUAUUAUUCUCCAUUUGAUUUCUUGUAUUAAUCUUUGUUUUAUUUUGUGUUUUGCAAGUGUUUUAACCCAACAAAUACUGUCAAAAAAUUGAGUUGAACUGUGAAGAAAUCAUCUUCUUCAGCAGCCCCAGUACCACGACAGCCUGAGUCCACUCUCAUGAGAUGCUGACGAAUGAUAAAGAAGAAGGUUUGUCUUUUACCUAGACUUUUUGAAUAAUGUUGUUCUUCAUUAUAAUGAUGAAACAGUGUGAUGUGGCAGUGUACGUAC
rnacentral:lncRNA from 1 species